GAAAUGCGAUAAGUAAUGUGAAUUGCAGAACUUUGUGAAUCAUCGAAUCUUUGAACGCAUCUUGCGCCCUUUGGGGCAUGCCUGUUUGAGUAUCAUUUAAAUCCUCACUCCUUCAAUUGAUGGUGUUAAAAAACCAAAAGUUGAUUGUGGUGGAUCAAUGAGGUUCCAGCUUGUAAUGAGUUGGUGCUUUGAAAGUUAACGACUUGGCUUGGUUCAUGCUUGAAACCAUCUCGAAGCGAGAAUCUCGAUUCUUGGGAUAUGGUCUAGUGAACUCUAGUUAAACCAGUCGACAAAGAAAGGGUUUUGGUUAACUCUUUUAAACUUGGUCUCAAAUCAGGCAAGACUACCCGCUGAACUUAA
rnacentral:misc_RNA from 1 species